AUACUUACCUGGCAGGGGAGAUACCAUGAUCACAAAGGUGGUUCUCCUUUGGUGAGGCUCGGCCAUUGCACUCCGGCCAAGCUGACCCAGAUGAUUUUCUCAAAUGUAGAAAUCUCAACUGCACUAUUUGUGGUAGUGGGGGACUGCGUUCGCGCUCUCCCCUG